CACAUGCAAGUCGAGGGGAAACGACAUCGAAAGCUUGCUUUUGAUGGGUGUCGACCGGCGCACGGGUGAGUAACGCGUAUCCAACCUGCCCACCACAUGGGGAUAACCUUGCGAAAGUAAGACUAAUACCCAAUGAUAUCUCUAGAAGACAUCUGAAAGAGAUUAAAGAUUUAUCGGUGAUGGAUGGGGAUGCGUCUGAUUAGCUUGUUGGCGGGGUAACGGCCCACCAAGGCGACGAUCAGUAGGGGUUCUGAGAGGAAGGUCCCCCACAUUGGAACUGAGACACGGUCCAAACUCCUACGGGAGGCAGCAGUGAGGAGUAUUGGUCAAUGGACGAGAGUCUGAACCAGCCAAGUAGCGUGCAGGAUGACGGCCCUAUGGGUUGUAAACUGCUUUUAUAAGGGAAUAAAGUGAGUCUCGUGAGACUUUUUGCAUGUACCUUAUGAAUAAGGACCGGCUAAUUCCGUGCCAGCAGCCGCGGUAAUACGGAAGGUCCGGGCGUUAUCCGGAUCUAUUGGGUUUAAAGGGAGCGUAGGCCGGAGAUUAAGCGUGUUGUGAAAUGUAGACGCUCAACGUCUGCACUGCAGCGCGAACUGGUUUCCUUGAGUACGCACAAAGUGGGCGGAAUUCGUGGUGUAGCGGUGAAAUGCUUAGAUAUCACGAAGAACUCCGAUUGCGAAGGCAGCUCACUGGAGCGCAACUGACGCUGAAGCUCGAAAGUGCGGGUAUCGAACAGGAUUAGAUACCCUGGUAGUCCGCACGGUAAACGAUGGAUGCCCGCUGUUGGUCUGAAUAGGUCAGCGGCCAAGCGAAAGCAUUAAGCAUCCCACCUGGGGAGUACGCCGGCAACGGUGAAACUCAAAGGAAUUGACGGGGGCCCGCACAAGCGGAGGAACAUGUGGUUU
rnacentral:rRNA from 1 species